CUUUUUUUUUUUUUUUUUUUUUUUUUUGUCUUUUGUCCUUUUAGGGCUGUACCCGCAGCAUAUGGAGGUCACAGACGAGGCUCAGAUCUGGCAUGGCUGUGGCGUAGGCAGGCAACUUGGCUCCAAUUAGACCCCUAACCUGGGACCCUCCAUAUGCCACAGGUGCAGCCCUAAAAAAAAAAAAUUUUUUUUGCAUGCGUGAAACACAGACAUACCGUCUUUUAGCAAAAUUGAUUUUCCAUAAGAGAGAGAAAUUAAAUGUAUCAACAUUUUAUUGGGCUCCACAAAGAACACAAUGGUUUCCCUGGGUUCCAACACUGGAACAUCUUUGAAAACAGGCGAAGAAUGACAGGCAGUUGUCUGACUUUCCCCAAGAAUUUUAUUUUUUACUAUUUCUUUGGCUGUACCCAUGGCAUAUGAAAUUUUUGGGGCAGGGGAUCGAAUCUGAGCCGCGGCUGCGACCGUGACCAGUGCUGGAUCCUUAACCCAUUGUGCUGGUCCAGGGAUCAAACCUGAGCUGCUGCAGAGGUAAUGUCUGAUCCUUAACCUGUUAUACCAUAGUAGGAACUUCUCCCCAAGAAUUUUAAAAAGAGGAGAUACUUAUAUCUAGAAAUAUUGAUCAAAGUAUUUAUUAAUAUAGCCAUAGGAUUAAAGGCGAGGUGACUGUUUCUUUGUUUAAAAUUCAUGUUACUUCAAACACGAGCCAUGCACCCAGCUUCUGUCCUGACCUCCCUCCCUGGUUAUUCAAUCCUGUAGUCUUCCCAGGGCUAUAGGGUGAGAUUACAGUGGACUUGAAGAAAGUUUCAGAUUCAGAGUCUCCCUGAAGAGGAGAGCUACACAGUGUGUCCUCAAAGUGGCCAAUACAUGAGUUCCCAAAUCUAUGGGGCCACCAGGACCAGAGCAUAUGUUCCUUCAUCUGACAUGUACUGACAUUCCUGGAUGAUUCUGGCAUACUGUAAGGCUAGUGCUACCAAAGCAAAGACAAUUUAGCCUUGACAUGGCCUUGGACACCUAACCCACAUCAAGCCUAGACCCCAGGAACAGCUGAGGGAGGCUGCAUUGUCUGUAACAGCUUCCAGGAUCUAGAGAUAAAAGCCAAGUGAUAUGGCAAAGGGCCCUGCAUUUUCUAUUUUGGUUUCCACCAGAAUUAAAUAUCUGUGCCCAUUUUAUCUCCCAGUAGUUGCCAGAAAAAUCAAAGAAUCAAAGUUUGAAAUUACUCUGGAGGGUUGGCUACCACUUGGCUUCAAAUCCCUCCCUUUAGAGAUGAGGUUACCAAGGUUCAGAGGGUGGGAUAUUGGGUCAAAGUCACCCAUAGAGUGAAUCCUGGCUCCAGGCUCAACCCUCCUUUCAUUGCUGUUGUCUAAUUGCUUGGUAGUGGUAGAGACAUUAGCUAGAAGGAAAAUAAGUCAGUCUUUGGCUAAUGAAAAAUUACAACCAAUUUCAUAGAUAGAUCUGUACUUCCUCACAUUGCAGUGGCUCAUGGUUAUAUUGGACUGAUUCUAUGGCCUAGUAACAAAACACUUCAUGCUGCCACAUUAGGAACAUUCUAAACACACCAGACAUUUUCAUUCUCUGCAAAUUAUAUUCCCCAGGUCUGGAAUAUCCUCAUUUCUCAUUGUUGGCAAACAGUCUUUCACAUUCAAUUCCAUCUGUGGAACUGUGGUGGUUUUGUUCUGGGGCAACUUAGAUAGGCUAGAGCUAUGUUCCCAGACUCCUCUUACAUAGCAGCAUUGGCCAUAAGAAACAUUUUUUUUUUCAAAAUAUUUGGAAUAUAGAAGUGAAGCUACUAUGUUAUAAUAUUAAGAAAGUUGAUGCAGGGCACCAUGUAUCUUGGUGCCUUAUUCAUAUUGUCCCUGAUCUGCUGGUUUACCUGGGGGGUGGAGGGAUGCAGCAGCUGAGUCUCAGCUCCUCCAGUUCUCAUCAGAGCACCUCUUGCAUCUCUGAAUCCUGGACUAGCAUGUAGAACUCUACAGGGAAGACCAGCUUUUCCUGCAGGUCACUGGAAUCAUCACCUAGAGAUAGGGAGAGGAGAUGAUGAACUCCAGUUGGUCCUUGCAGGUUGCGAUCCAUCAUUUCUUCCCCCACUUGAUGCCCAUUUCUCUUUCCCCACUGCCUGCCCUGCUGACUUGUAAUCUAGCACCAAACACUGAAGCAGUAGCCUCACAUCAACUGAUUAGGCAGUUCCUACAAUUGUGAGGACCAAGCCCUGACAAUGAAUCUCUAAUUCUGUAGCACAUGAAGUGGUUCUGCUUCUCUGAUCAAGACGCUUCUGUGAAGCUUCCAAAGUCAAUCAUUUCCAGGCUGUGCACAUCUAUUAAAGCACACAACACACAAUGAUGUACUUCAGAAAUUGAUACGUCUCUCUCAUAGAAAUGGGGAGAGCUGACUUGUAUUGCAUGCUGACUUUGUGCCAGGUACUAUUCUGAGGGCACGGUUAAUUCUUACAACAACUGAGUGAGGUAAGCGUUAUUAUUGUUUCCAUUUUAUAGACAAGGCAAUGGGGGACCAGAAAAGCUAAAUGGUUUGCUUGUGCUUUCACAACUAGGAAGGAGAAGACUCGGGAUUCAAAAUCAUGCAGCCUAAUGCAGAGCCAGCACCCUGACCCUCCCUGUGAGAGCUCUUCAAGGAGUAAGUCUCAUUAAUAACCCAACUCGUGCACUAGAAUGAAUGAACGAUCCAUCUACUUCAUUUGCGGUAAAAUGACUUUUCUGCCAAGUUGAUGAAAGGUGGCUAACAAGGGGAGUUUUGGGGCCUAGGAUACUGCUAUACCAUGAGUGCUAUCCCUCCCAGACUGCAAGGUGAGAUUAUAAACAGUCCAUAGUCAAGGUCUUGUUGGUAGACAAGAGACCUGCUUACGCAUGAAGUAUGCAUCUCCUGAAAACCAUCAGCAUGCUCUCUGGGAGCAGUAAACACUGAUAAUGCAGCAUACCACCAGAUGAGCCUACUUUUCUCUCCAGCCCAGACAGACACCCCACCCUAGGUGGAGGGCUCUACCCUGUAAGUCUCCUAGAGUGAAGGGCUAAGCCUGGCUGGAGGGCAGAAUUCCCACACAGAUGCCGGGCAUACAAUUCCUGUUUAACACUUCCCUUCUUCUAUGUAACCUUAAAACUGUCCUUUGUAUGUAGAAAACACAGACUAGGACUCACAUUUAAUUUUUGAUGUACUUGCCAAUUUCUGGACAUCAAACUAGAAUGAAAAUUCAAGUUUGGACUUCACACCAGAGGAUCUUGGGCCAUAGAGUCUGCUGUUCAAUAUGAAAUUGAGUAUUCCUCGUUCCCAUAUCCAGAGGAGAUAGGGGAAAUUGUGACCUCUAUCUCAUGUGUGACAUACCAAAAAUUUAAAAAAAAAAAA
rnacentral:lncRNA from 1 species